rnacentral:rRNA from 1 species
CCUACGGGAGGCAGCAGUGGGGAAUAUUGCACAAUGGGGGAAACCCUGAUGCAGCGACGCCGCGUGAGUGAAGAAGUAUUUCGGUAUGUAAAGCUCUAUCAGCAGGGAAGAAAAAUGACGGUACCUGACUAAGAAGCCCCGGCUAACUACGUGCCUGCAGCCGCGGUAAUACGUAGGGGGCAAGCGUUAUCCGGAUUUACUGGGUGUAAAGGGAGCGUAGACGGCGCGGCAAGUCUGACGUGAAAGGCAGGGGCUUAACCCCUGAACUUCUUUGGAAACUGCCAUGCUAGAGUGCUGGAGAGGUA